UACAGAGGGUGCGAGCGUUGUUCGGAAUUAUUGGGCGUAAAGGGCGCGUAGGCGGCGCCACAAGUCACUUGUGAAAACUCUGGGCUCAACUCAGAGCCUGCAAGCGAAACUGUGGUGCUGGAGUAUGGGAGAGGUGCGUGGAAUUCCCGGUGUAGCGGUGAAAUGCGUAGAUAUCGGGGAGGAACACCUGUGGCGAAAGCGGCGCACUGGACCAUAACUGACGCUGAGGAGCGAAAGCCAGGGGAGCAAACGGG
rnacentral:rRNA from 1 species